UAUAUAUAUAUAUAUAUAUAUAUAUAUAUAUAUAUUUCAGUCGCAGUCUGCGCACAUUAGCAGGAAUAUUGUUUUAAAAAAACUUUUGUUUUCUGCAUAGGCUUUUCUACAAGGUCAAUUAAUAACCACCUUAAUUUUUAACAUAUCAUUAGGAUAUUUAGUUUUAGGUUCUUACUAAACACUACUUAUUUUUUAUUUUAAAUACGGUCCAUUUCAAAAUGUAUCAAAUCUGUAUAUUUGAAACAUAUGCUGUAUAGAGGGUUGAUUUUAAGUAUUUUAAUCAUUAACACUCCGUCAAAUUUACUAUUUAGUCCAACAUUUUCUUUAAUUUCUGAUUCUGGCUUUUCUCUUGUAAAAGACAAUGUAUGUGGCUAUGUAUUGUAUGUGUCCUUGUACUUAUAUAAGCCAUUCCAAAUACAUAACAUAUCAUUCAAUUAACUUUACCUGGUCGUUGGGUGUGUGGUUAUUUUGUAGGGUUUUUGUUUUGUUUCAAUCCUGGCAUCAAAUUGUAUUUGUUUCUAUUGCUAUUUUGUAUUUUUAUUUUUUUCUCAACCAUAAUAUGUCAUGUGCAAUGAUUGAAGUUAUUGAGGGACAAAUGUGGACUUAGUUCAAAUUUUCAGAAUUUGUCUUCUAUUUAUAACACAUUAGAUAAAGAAUAAAAAAAAGUGCACAUAUCUGAUUGACAGCCUGGAAAUGUAUGUAAGGGGAUUUAUAGACUUGCUUAUUUCU